GACUGGUCUGAAGGUAGAGAGUUAUCUCAAUUGAUUGUUGACAGUUACAGAUUAAACUGUUCCAUUCUUUCCCCUCUUCUUACUACUGCACUUGACUAGUCUUAA
rnacentral:Y_RNA from 1 species